AUAUCGACAAAGAAACGGUGUGAGAUAUUGUUAUUAACGGAAUAGAA
rnacentral:guide_RNA from 1 species